rnacentral:rRNA from 1 species
CCUACGGGAGGCUGCAGUGGGGAAUAUUGGGCAAUGGGCGCAAGCCUGACCCAGCAACGCCGCGUGAAGGAAGAAUGCUUUCGGGUUGUAAACUUCUUUUAUCAGGGACGAAGCAAGUGACGGUACCUGCUGAAUAAGCCACCGCUAACUACGUGCCAGCACCCGCUGUAAUACGUAGGUGGCAAGCGUUAUCCGGAUUUAGUGGGUGUAAAGGGCGCGUAGGCGGGAGUGUAAGUCCGUGGGGAAAACUAUGGGCUCAACCCAAAGCCUGCAUUUGAAACUGGACUUCUUGAGUGCUGGGGAGGCAAGCGGAAUUCGGGGUGUAGCGGUGAAAUGCGUAGAUAUACGGAGGAACACCAGUGGCGAAGGCGGAUUGCUGGACAGUAACUGACGCUGAGGCGCGAAAGCGUGGGGAGCAAACAGGAUUAGAUACCCGGGUAGUC